AAUGAACGUUGGCGGCGUGGAUUAGGCAUGCAAGUCGUACGCACAGCUUCGGCUGUGAGUGGCGCAAGGUGAGUAAUGCGAAGGUAACCAACCCCUGGAGUUGGGCAUAACCGCGGGAAACUGCGGGUAAUUCCCAGCGAUGUCUCGAGAUGGCAUCAUCUUGCGACCAAAAGGUGUGAUUCCGCUCUAGGACGGGCCUUCGUGGUAUUAGGUAGUUGGUGAGGUAACGGCUCACCAAGCCGACGAUGCCUACCGAGUGUGAGAGCAUGACCCGGCACACUGGAACUGAGACAACUGUCCAGACACCUACGGGUGGCUGCAGUCGAGAAUCUUCGGCC
rnacentral:rRNA from 1 species